rnacentral:rRNA from 1 species
UACGUAGGAGACGAGCGUUGUCCGGAAUUACUGGGCGUAAAGCGCGUGUAGGCGGAUAGGCAAGUCUGCUGUGAAAGCUCCUGGCUUAACCGGGAGUGGUCGGUGGAAACUGCUUAUCUGGAGGACGGUAGAGGCUGGUGGAAUUCCCGGUGUAGUGGUGAAAUGCGUAGAUAUGCGGAGGAACACCGAUGGCGAAGGCAAUCCCCUGGACCUGUACUGACGCUCAUGCACGAAAGCGUGGGGAGCAAACGAGG